AUACGGAGGGUGCAAGCGUUACUCGGAAUCACUGGGCGUAAAGCGCGCGCAGGCGGCUAUUUAAGUUGGAUGUGAAAGCCUACGGCUCAACCGUAGAACUGCAUCCAAAACUAUUUAGCUAGAGUGUGGGAGAGGAAGAUGGAAUUAGUUGUGUAGGGGUAAAAUCCGUAGAGAGAACUAGGAAUACCAAAAGCGAAGGCAAUCUUCUGGAACACUACUGACGCUGAGGCGCGAAAGCGUGGGGAGCAAACGGGAUUAGAAACCCUAGUAGUCC
rnacentral:rRNA from 1 species